AUGGGGGACAACACGGUGCUAGGAACUGGCCCGCCGUCCAGUGUCCCUGAGAACACUCGGGGUCUAGGCCUCAUCUCCAGGAGUUGGAGGAGGCGCCCCCGCCCCGCCCCGUGCCGAGCGGGCCCAAGGCCUGAGGCCUCCCCUCUCACACCCCCGGUGCCGGGAGCACAUCUUCGAGGGGCCGUCGGGGUUGUAACUCGCUACUGGACCUCGGGCCGUGUUGCUAUCCUCGGCCCCCGAGCCCGCCCAGGGGUCUGCACGGCCCGGGUCUGCGCUGCGGGCUUCUCCUGUGGGGCGCUGGGAGUGAGCUCUAUCCCCAAAGCCCAUUUCAACGUCCCAGGUAUGACUACGGCAGGGGCAGGCCACCCACCCUCACCCCCUUCCUUGGCUAGAACGCCUCUGCUGGGAGCCGACGACCGCGGCCUGACCCCAGGCCCCACCGCCCACUCCCGGCUCCCGCCCUUCCUCCACGGUCAGGGGUCACACCCAGCGGACGCCCAGUUCUCGGCUGCCCCUUUGAUCUCCGAAUUUGGGAGCCAGUGUGUCCGCUUGAGCGUGCACUGCCACGGGCACUGGGACCCCUUUGCUGCUGCGGGGAGGAGCCCCGACGGCAGGUGGGAAGACCUGGCUUGCCUGCGUCCCCCGCCCCCCAGCUCCCGCGACCCGGGGCGAGGCUCUCAGCCCCUGGGCUUCCCCGCUCGGGUUUUGAGGGAGGGGCCGGGCCUUCGGGCCCGCAGACCCGCCACCGCGCGUGCGCAUGCGCCGGCCGCGAGCCCCUGGGUGCAGGACUGGGCGGCUCCGGCCCGCGCACUUGUCCAGGCGCCGCGGCUUAGCGCGCCCCAACCUCCGGCUCCGGUGGAGAGCUGGGGCGGGACUGAAGCACCGUGUUCAUCAAAGUAUCCCCUCGCCGUCAGCAGCCCUGGCCUCGCAAACGCUCCAGUGCGCUCCGGCGCACGCAGGGACUGGCGCUGCAGCCUCCGGGCCAACGGCACGCGAGCAAAGCUGGUUGGCAAACUGGGACACGCAAGAGAAGUUGGGGCUGCACCGACUCUCGCCGCUUCGGGGGAGGCAUGGGCCCGGGCAGGCCUAGGAGGAAGCUGCACAGCCCGAGGCCCGGGCGGGAGUGGCGGGCCGCGGACAAGGGAAUGUAUAUUUGGAAGGGGUCAGGACCUCGGCUGGAGUCUGGCUUUUUAUGGCGAGGAAGCCGACUGGGAAGGGCCUUCUGGCGAGGCUUUCCUGUUGUGCCACUUUUCCCCGGCAGCGCCGGGCGCGGGGAACGCGGGGCUGCACCGGGGCGGGGGAGGGGGCUUUACCCGGCGGCUCCGAGGACUCCACUGUGGGGUCGGCCCGGCGGGUAGGCCCGCCCAGGAGCCGGCUGGCAGUUGCAGCGGACUGUCACCAAACACUUACUAUAAAUCACUGUCCUGCGCCUCCGGGAGGAUCCGUCGAACCUGA
rnacentral:lncRNA from 1 species